rnacentral:lncRNA from 1 species
AGCUUUCUGACAUUCUGUAGAUAACGGGCCAUCGUGGAAUCUUUAACUUUAAAUUAACCUCAGACUUGGCCGACCACAAGCUAUGAGUCUGUGAAAAUCUUUAAUUUUCUAAUAAAUGGGAUAAAUUAGUAUAAGAUGGAAUAAUUAGUAAAAGAUGGGAUAAAUAACCUUCGGCUUCAAAGAAAGACUCGAUAGAUGCUCCUUC